AUGUUAAUUUGGAACAUCGCUACUGAUUACUGCAGUAUGAUUCCCCCUACCGGGGAGGCGGAGCAUGCUAAUGCAACAUCUGAAAAUGGACAAGACGCAAAGUUCAACAAGAAUGUUUCAGUCAGCCUAUCAAGAUAUUGUGCAUACUUGAUGAACUCUGCCCCAGAAUUGCUUCCAGGAUACUUCGGAGAUACAAAGUUGGCCAUGGCUGAUGUAAAACGCGAAGCCUACAAAGCUCUAAGACCCCAGGAUGAUUCUUCCAGAUCAGGCUUAAUAUUAAUAUUCCAGAAUUUUUUUUAUUUUCUCGAGAUUGUACCCGAGAUCGCUGCAUCCCAGAAUAUUUACCAGCUUAUGAAUGGCUUACAAGACCGAGAGGAAGACAGGAGCAUCUUCAUGAGAGGUGUGAAGCUUGGCAAGCAGCUAGAGGCCAUACCGAGCAGUGCUCUGCGCUGGAAGAUAAUGGCGGAUUUCUGGGCUGAGAAGAUCCUCUACAUCGCACCAUCAGACAAUGUGAAAGGGCACAUGGAACUUCUCGCAAAGGGGGGAGAGUUUCUCACCCACAUCUGGGUCCUCCUUACUCAUGCUGGCAUCCUCAAGAUUAACAGGGAGGAAGGCAACAACACCACGCCCAGGCGCCAACCAUCCCAAGGAGAUGUCUAG
rnacentral:rRNA from 1 species